rnacentral:tRNA from 2 species
UACGUUUUUAGUACAAUUCACAAGUACAUUUGUCUUCCAAACAAAAGAUUUUCGUAAAUGAAAAAAGCGUAU